UAAUUUUUCUUUUCCGAGAAGUUUUAAAACAGAUAAAAAGAUUAGCAUCUUUUUUUUGUAACAAACAUUUUGUGCAACAGCUGUAUUAUAGCAGACAAAAACCUAUAUCAAAAACUUAAAACAUCAGGUAUAAAAAGAUGAAUUCUAACAAAUCAUACAUGACUACUGAUGCUGCUGCUCGAAUUCAGUCCAAUUCGGCAAGAAUGGAAGGAGGGGUUAAGUCAGGAGGUUUUGCUUCGCGUGCUCAAUCAGCCGCAUCAACAAAUAUUAAUAAAGGUGUAACUUCACAUCAGGGAGGAAAACGCUGAUUAAAAACACUUGUUUAAAGUGGAUAUUUUAAAAACAUUUUUUUAUUUGAAUAAAAUUGUUAUUGUUAA